CCUUCCCCCGCAAGUCCCCAAAGUCCAUUAUCAUUCUUAUGCCUUUGCAUCCUCAUAGCUUAGCUCCCACUUAUAAGUGAGAACACAUGACAUUUGGUUUUCCUUUCCUGAGUUAUUUCACUUAGAAUAAUGGUCUCAAGCUCCAUCCAGGUUGCUGCAAAUGCCAUUAUUUCAUUCUUUUUUAUGGCAGAGUAAUAUUCCAUGGUGUGUGUGUGUUUAUAUAUAGGUAUCUCACAUUUUCUUUAUCCACUCAUUGGUUGAUGGAUAUCUACUAUCUUUAACAGAUGGUUCCAAGGUCAUUGCAAAAGAAGAUGCAAAGAGGAUGGAAAAUUGAAGGUUCCUAUGCCUCAGGCCAUGAGGAAGGACUCUGGAAGAUGUCUGAAUACUAGAAACCCCGAGAGCCAGAAGAAUGCAUUCGUCUGUGGUUCAAGCUAAGUAUGGGUAGUGCCAAGAUGGUUUCUGAUUUGGUCUCCACCACAUACAGUGAUUCCAAAGGGGGGUAAGACAUCCUUCCUCCUGCCCCAGUGUCAGCCCUUUGCAGUCUAUCUCGGUCUGCUUUUCAAGUACCCCUAAUAUCUUGGCACUUCCUCAUGGUGAAAAGUCUCCUUCCUCCCCUUCCUGAACCCAUCCAUGUGCCCAAUGCCCAAAGGACAUUUGGAGGGAUGCACUUAAAAUCAAAUUCGUCCACUGUCUAUUUGUUGAGAUAAGGUGUGGUGACAACAGCAGUCCAAGGGGACUACUAGCAGCCUCAGAAUCCAGCCACCCAGCCCUAGCCUUGUCAGGGCCACUCCUGGGCUGGGCACACUUGUAGGUGGGGAGGGAAGGGCAGCAUUGUCAGAGAAGACAGACCAAGCUGCAGCUGCCCUACUGGGAGGCUGGGAGGCCUGAAUAGCUUCACAGCGCUGGGCCCUGCUUGCUGAAUGGGGGCUUGGCUCCUCCCUGGCGGUGGUCCGGAAUGGAUGACAUUUUCAUUGCAAGCUAACAAGGGGAGAAAUCCAAUUACUUCACAAAGAGGCUCCUGAAGGGGCCUCACAGCCUGGAGAAAGAAGGGGAGGAGAAGAGGGGGAGAGGGAAGGAAGAAGGGGAGUGUGUGUGUGUGUGUGUGUGUGUGUGUGUGUGUGUGUGUGUGUGUGUGUGUGUGUGUAGGGAGGCUCCCACCCAGACCAGGAAAGGAACAAAGCCCUCAGGCCUCCAGGACAUGGCCUCCUGCAUACAGGCAGGGAGAUUGGAACUGGGGGGCUUUUAAUUGAUUUCCAGUGGGUCAGAGGGUCUGCCUGGAAACUCCAGGUCCCUGAGAGCUCCAGGCAAUCAGGCUUCCUCCCUGUGGAACAACCUGAGUGGUGCAGAAGAGGCCCCAGCCCUAUUUCUCUGCCCCAUCAGACUACAGUUUCCCUGACCUGAGUCAUCAAAGGCCCAUUAUACACUUUUUUACCUUUGUUGCAUCCACCUAAACUAUUAAUCCCUUUUUGAAACAUUUAUUUAAAGUGUAUUAUUUAAGCUCAGUAUUUUGGAAGUUUAUAUCCUAACUGCAAAUAGAAAAAGUAGAAGCUAAUUCUAAAUAGAAAUACAAUUCAAAUAGCCCAAUGUUGUUGAACCUCAGGGAGCUGAAAGCCUUGGGCUCUCUGGGGUGGAGGGUGGGAGUGAUGGGAUGGUGGGGUUAGCAAAUGUUUGCAAUCCAGAUUUCUCCCAGGUCUAAUCCAGGAGGAAGAAGAGGAUUGAAAAGGGAACACCUCCCUCCCGCAGCGGUUCAAAAGCUGCUCCAGGCAAGGCUAUGCCUCCAGGUCUUCCACACCUGCCCCCAGGGUAGUGGGUGUGGCGGCUUCACGGCCUUGCUGCCCUUAACUUUGGUUGCCCAACAGCUAGCUUAGUCCUCUCUUUUCCUCUUCCGGAAAAGAGAGGCAAAGUUAGGAACGAUUGAGUACUGGAUAGACCUACUUUCUGUGAGUUGUGGGGUGGUCACUGGAGUCCCAGAAAGUGUGAGAGGCCUGGGGGAGGUGGAAGAUAAUGGCAGUUCCAGGGCCACAAGCGUGUCCAGUCUCCCGCUCUCCCUCCCCUUCGACUCGGGAGGAAGGGCUACAGACCCCAUCUAGGAGGAAAUUAGCAUUCGCUUCCUCUGGCUCAGCCAGAGCAAAUCGGCCUUCAAAAGCCAGCGGCCUGGAGGCCACACAGCGCGCCCCUUUGUGGCUCCCACGCCUUGCCUCACCCUCUCCCCCAGCCGACUGAACUCCCUAGCUCCGAAGAGAGCAAAUGGGAGUCUCCUGAGGCACAAGGACCUGGGGUGGGGUGGGGCAGAUCUUCCUCAAUGCCCUCUCCAAACUGGGGGUCCCGCCUGCUUCUCCUGUCCUGUGGAGGCUUUUUGGUGAGCUUUGGUCCCAAAGGAGUUUAGGCCCCAAGGAUGGCACAGUGCUAGUCCUCACUCCCCCUUUACCCCCGGGAGAUUCAGGCCAAGUGGGAAGGCUGAGGGAGGGGCAGUGCUUGCUAGAGGGCAUGGCUCAGGUUAAGCUCCACCCACUCAGAUUUGUGUCCAAAAGUGGACAAGGACCACCCUGGGCUUUGGGGACUUCCUGCUCCCCUCUGAUCUCCCCAGGCCAUCUCUGUUCUCAGAAUACUGGAGGAGAGGAGGCUACGGAAAUGCGGGUUUCAUCCAGAGACUCAGGGGCACCCCUAAGUCCUCAGCGGGCUCACCGGUCAAGUCAGAUGCCUGGGGAGGGAGGCUGAGGGGAAGGGCUAAGGUGAGGAUGAUCUGCACAGUCGGAGGCAGUCAAAGAAGCUUAAAGAAGGUGAAGCUUAAAUAAUAAUCAUAGCCAACAAAAGCAGGCACCAGGAUUUCCUAAACACCUAAGGGAUUAACUGCUUUACCCUCCACUACUCUAGGAGGUAGCUGAGGCUGGCUAACUUGCUUAAAAAUCCCAGCUAGGCUGGGUGCGGUGGCUCACGCCUGUGAUCCCAGCACUUUGGGAGGCGGAGGCAGGCGAAUCACAAAGUCAGGAGUUCGAGACUAGCCUGGCCAACAUGGUGAAACCUCGUCUCUACUAAGAAUACAAAAAAUUAGCUGGGCGUAGUGGUGGGCACCUGUAAUCCCAGCUACUCGGGAGGCUGAGGCAGGAGAAUUUCUUGAACCCGGGAGGCCAAGGUUGCUGUGAGCUGAGAUCGUGCCACUGCACUCCAGCCCGGGUGACAGAGUGAGACUCUGUCUCAAAAAUAAAACAAAACAAAACAAAGCAAAAAACAAACAAACAAACAAAAAAACCAAACAAACAAAAAUCCCAGCUAGUGGGUGGCCGAGUUUACCUUGUAUUUCCUUGCUAUCUACCCAUUCCUAGUCCGUAUUCUUCACCUCCUUGUGGCAUUUGAUUUUGUUAAGACUCAAUCUUUUGGCUUCCAGAACUCCACUCUCUUCCUGGACUCUUCUAACCUCUCUGAUCAUUCCAUGUGCGUCUUCCUAGGGGCCCACCCAGGGCUUCUGCUGCCAGGGCAGUGUGUGUAUGCACAAACAGAGAGCCUGCGUAGUCUCUAGAUUCCAGAUACUCUCUGGAGUAGUGCAGUUUGGCAGUGUUGACCCUACCCCUUGAAUGUGCCUGGGGUUUAUUCCUUGGCCUUCUCAUCUGUAACCAGACUCAUUGUUUUAACAUUAUCUCUUCCCUGAUGACUCCCAAACUUUUGUCUCUAUCCUUGACAAAUCCCAUGGCCUAUGGGACACAUUCAUCUGGAUAACUCAACUCAAAAACACAAGAGGCCAUCAACUGAACUCAUGCUUCCUCCAAACCUUCUCACACUGGAAUUUCUGUCCUACGCAUCCAAGGUGGAAACUCUUGGGUUCUCAUUGAUUCAACUCUGCCCUGACACCCUCAUCUCCCUUUUCAACCAAACACCUCUCCUGCCCCAUUGUUUUUGCCAACCCAACAUCCAAUCACCAAGGUAAUUCUGCCUUUGAAAUCUCUCCUGCACCUCCCCUCUCCUCAUCUACUAAGUCUCCAUCAUCUCAUACUUUGACUAUUUGACAUAGAUCCCUAACAAAUGUCACUGCUCAGUCUUUCUGCUGCAGACAAAGAGCCCUUCAAACCCAGUCUCACAAAAAUCUCCCUGCUCAAAGAGUUCUGUGAGGCCGGGCACAGUGGCUCACAUCUGUAAUCCCAGCACUUUGGGAGGCUGAGGCAGGAGGAUCACAUGAGGUCAGGAGUUCAAAACCAGCCUGGCCAACAUGGUGAAACCUCAUUAAAAUACAAAAAUAAAAAAUUUAAAUACAUAAUUUAAAUUAAAAAUUAAUUAAAAUACAAAAUUAAAAAUAUAAAAAUUAACCGGGCGUGGAAUCACAUGCCUGUAAUCCCAGCUACUCAGGAGGCUGAGGCAGGAGAAUCUCUUGAACCUAGAAGAUGGAAGUUGCAGUAAGCUGAGAUGGCGCCACUGCACUCCAGCCUGGGCAACAGAGUGAGACUCCAUCUCAAAAAAAAAAAGGUCUGUGCCAUCCCUUAACAAAACUCCUAUCACUUGCUCUUCAUCUUCCAUGUGCUAUGCACCCUAUACCCCACUAUAGGCACUUAUCUAAACACUCCUUGUCUUUUCAUAUUUAUUUAUUCACAUGUCCCAUAAUUUUUUAUUUGAUAUCAUCUAUGAACCAGGCCCUGUGCUCACUGCUGGGAGAGAUAAACAUGAAUCAGACCCUGGCCCUGCACUCUGGAGGAUGAAGUCUGUUCUUCAUGUUGUUGCUAUUCUGCCAUUUUGAUAUACCCUUUUCCAUCAGAAAAUGUCUACUCUCAUAAAUAGAAAGUCUUAUAUUUUUCCCACAUAUCAGUGCAUCAUUUUAUGUAUGCACUCCUUGGAGUUCAUACAGUGCACUUUGAAGACAUCUGGACUAAGACCCAGAAACAGGAAGUAAAUAGAGUUUUUUGGUUGAAAGUGACAGAAAACCAAUUCAAACAAGUAGGAAAGGGAAUUUAUUGGUUCACAUAAGCAGGAAGUGCCGAGGUAGAUUAGAGCUGACCUUAGAGACUCCAAGAACACAUCACCUGUCACUCCCUCUGUCUGCCUCCUCAGGCCUUCUACCCUGAUGACUUCUAUUGCAGAGAUGGGUGAAGAGUAGAUGGUAGAUCUGGUGGCAGAAAGCUAUGAGCUUAUGUCAAUCCAGCCUAGUGAUGCCCCUGGAAAAAUAUGUUCUUUCCUAGCAUUCAUCUAAAAAUCUUAAGAAAUGGUUGUCAUUGACCCAAUUUGGAUAAUGUAUUCAUUCCUGAACCAGUAACUGAGGCAAGGGGAUGAAGAGCUCUGAAGGGAGAGGCUUGAAUCACAUACUCAUCCCUGUGGUCUGGAGGGCACUGUGACUGGUAACUGAAGAAGAACCACAUGGAAUUGGGGAGGAGCAGUUCUCCAAAGGAAGAUAUGCUCAACAAUUUAGAGAAAAGCAUGAACAUAAUGAGGAAAUAAAUUGAAGAUAAGAAGACUCAAACAGAACUCCUAAGGGAGGAAAAAUACAGUGUUUAAAAUGAAAAUGUUACCAGAUAGGAUGAAAAGCUAAUUAGAUACUGCAAAAGAAAAGAUCAGUGAACUUGAAGACACACCUUAGAAACGAUCUCAAACGAAGCACAGAGAGGAAAAAAAGAGUGAGAUAAAAACCAAUAUCACUGAUCUAUGGGACAAUGUCAAGCAGUCCGACAGACAUAACACUGGAGUCGCAAAAGGGGAUGUGGGGGCAGAAAAAACAUUUUGAAAAAAUAAUGGGCAAACAUUUUCCAAAUUUGAUGACAGCUAUAAAUCCAGAUCAAAGAAGCUCAAGGAACCCCAAGCAUGAUAAAUAAAAAUAAAAUCACACCAGGGAGCAUUACAUUUAAAUUGCUGAAAGCCAGUGAUAAAGAUAAAAUCUUAAAAGCAGUCAGAGGAAAAUUAAGAAAAGACAUUAUGUACCUAGGAACAAAGAUAACAAUGACAGCAGACUACUCAUCAGAAACUAUGCAAGCUGGAAGACAAUGAAACAUCUUUAAAUGCUGAAAGAAGAAAACCCCAAAAACCUAUUAACCUAGAAUUAUGUUCACAGUGAAAGUACCUUUCAAAAAUUAAGAUGAAAUAAAAUUUUUUUAAAAAUGCAAGCUAAAGUAGUAGAAUUUGUUGCCAGCAGACUUGCUCUAUAAGAAACAUUAAAGGAAAUUCUUUAGGAGAAGGAAAAUGGUAUCAGGUAGAAACUUGGAUCUACAGAAAGGAGUGAAGAAAGCAGGAAAUGACAGAGAUGUGGGUAAAUAUAAAAUAUGUUGAUUGUGUAAAGCAAAAGUAAUAAUGAUAUAUUUGGCAGUUUAUAAUACAUGUAGAAAGUGUAUGAUGACAACAGCACAAAGGAUAAGAGGGAAAAAUGGAAGUAUGUUGUAAGGUUCUUAAGGUAUACAUGAAGUAUAUAAUAUAUUAUUAUAAUCUUAUUUGAUGAUAGACUGUGAUAAGUUAAGCAAGUAUAUUGUAAGCCCUAGAGCAACACUAAGAGAGUAAUGAAGAGGCAUAGCGACUAAGCCAAUAAUAGAGAUAAAAUGAAAUCUUGAUGUUUCCUUCUGUGUGUAGGGACCCCAUUGGUAUAACACACCUGGCUUCUCCCUGCUCUCUCUUUCAUUCUGCUCCAGCGAAUAUUGAGUGACUUAUCUGAUUGGUGAGUUUGGCAGUAGCAGUCCAGGCUACUGGGUAGCUCACCCCAUCCUUGGGUACAAGCUACCUGAAACGUAAACACAUUUCUGCUCUGCCCUUGUGAGCAGGAGAGGCUAGUGAUGGUCCAGUGUUGCUUAUGACCUAUGGGCAUGUCUGACUAAUUCUAGGUUUCCAUGUUUAACAGUCUGCUUGCCUGCAGCCAUGAGCCAUGUUCUUCAAAGUCAGCCUCAUUGGUAGCAAAUGUGAUACUUGGUCUCUAUCUGCCUUGCUUCUUUGUCUAAUUUCUUAAUUGGUUUAGAAAUCAGUAUUUAUGGAGAUACUUCCCCCACUACAAUGGCUGGCUUGACUGCCAGCUCCUGGAUAGGAAAAGGAUACUGGACUCCUCUCCUACCUGCCAUAUGUGAUUGACCAUGGGAGCUUGAGCAUGGGGUCCUGGAAGGGGAAGGGAUCGAUGGUAAGACAAGGUAAAGAGAAAUAUUAAUGCACAGGUGCCCUGUGAAGUGUGCUGGACCUCUGGGCUCAGAAAGGACCAAGGGAGCCUCAGGCGAGCCCAGUGGGGAGGGACAGCCUCAGCUUUCCUCCUCUUACUCCCCUGCUCAGAUUCUACAAUAUCUCUGCCCCACUCAGCCAGGCAAGUUAUGGCAAUGGCACAAGCUGGGGGAAGAAGAUCUGGAUUCCUUGCCUAGCUGGGCCACUAAUUUUCUAUGUAAGCCUAACUGAGUUAUGCUCCUCCCCACUCCCACCUCCGCAUUCUGGCCUCAGUUUCGCCAUCUAGAACAAAGAAAUUGUGCUAAAUAAUAUCUUGUAGUGGUUCCUUCUGGCCUUUACGGUUUCCUUAUCUAGAUCAGAGACUCCAGCCUAGGGCUACUUACAGACUUACUUUGUUUGGCCCACGCUGUGUUCUUUUUUU
rnacentral:lncRNA from 10 species